UCCGCCCGAACAGCAGCAGCAAGAACACAAAUCCGCCGCCGCGAAUCGCCGAUUUCAGGUCGGCUCAAUCAAUGGCGAAUACGAGGGGGCCCUCGUGGUCGGACAUCCCGCUGGAUCUCACCGGCCGGAUCCUCCGCCGGCUGCCUGCUCACGUCGACCGCCUCCGGUUCGCCUCCGUGUGCCCCGAGUGGCAACACGGACGCUUGUGGCAACUGGUUAGUGUUCUCAGGCGAGGAUGGCUGCUUCCUGCGGGAUCCUUUCUCCAAUGCCACGGUGCCACUUCCUGCUUUGUCCCGUGACCGAAUCUGCUACGUGGGCGAUGAGUCCAUUGAUGAGGCGAACCUAGCAUGGCUGCGAAAGUCUCAUCGGUUGAUUUUGGAGGAGCCGAGGAGGUGGAAACUAAUGUUUUGCUCACCCCACCUGAUUGCAGCAUUAGUUUCGCUUAGGAAAACCAAACGGAUCGCAGUGUGCCAACCAGGGACCAACUCCUGGUGGUCCGUAAGCGUGGAAAACAAUUAUCUAUACUUUGUUGACAUGGCAUUCCAUCAGGGCAAGCUCUAUGCCCUUACUAUCCUGGGUAUACUAUUUGCCAUCGACAUCAGUGUGGACAGCAGCACGGGCAACCCAUGGGUUUCUGAAAUGCGAAAGAUCAUCGACGAUCCGCCUUUCUCAAUUCCACUGGUUACAAAGAUGACCUAUCUAGUUGAAUCGCGUGGUGUGUUGCUGGUGGUGUUGCGAAAGUUGGCAGAAGGAGAGACAGGAGGAGCUCUCCCUGAAUCCGCUGCAUCUGAACAGAAUGAGAUUGAGGUGUUUAAAGCCAGUUUGAGGCAGUCACAGUGGACCAAGGUGAUGACAGUAGGGGAUGACCGGGUUUUGUUUUUACGUCGACGGUGCUGCAGAUCUGCUUGUGUCUCUCAUGAGGAGGUGCCGAGGGAUUGCAUCUUCUUCCUGGAGAAUGACGAUGAGGAUCACGGUUGGUCUAAGGCGACCUCAAGCUCUUGCAGUGUCUACAGCAUGAGGGACGGCAAGGUCUCCACCCCUCUGCCGACGGUGUCAUGGAAGCGUGGCACGGUGUUUGCGACAUGGCUCUUCCCGCAGAACUGAAGUGAAGCUCUUGCUGAGCUAGCUGCUAAAUAUGUGAGAUCGACCUUAUCUGACCUCAGUAUAGUGGUCUCCAAUAUCAGAUAAGCUGCGAAGUGUAUCAGUACUUGUUGGAUCGUACUAUGGUGGCCUACUGGCAUCUGUAAUGCUGACUUUGGGCUGAUUGUGUGUGCUCAGUUUGUAAAACCAUUGAUGAACCUUGAGGUAGCAAGUAGCAUGUACCGUCUGUUAUGGACUUAUUCAGUUAGCUUGGAAUCAAUUGGGCGUGGUGUCUCUAGUUGGGGAGAGGUUAAUUGCAAGCUUGCUUGUUUGAUCUUAAUCUUGCUAUCUUGAAUAUCUUGUUUGAUCUUAAUGAUGCUAUCUUGAAUACUUUGUUGGCA